CUACGGAGGGGGCUAGCGUUGUUCGGAAUUACUGGGCGUAAAGCGCACGUAGGCGGACCGUUAAGUCGGGGGUGAAAUCCCGGGGCUCAACCCCGGAGCUGCCUUCGAUACUGGCGGUCUCGAGUCCUGGAGAGGUGAGUGGAAUUCCGAGUGUAGAGGUGAAAUUCGUAGAUAUUCGGAGGAACACCAGUGGCGAAGGCGGCUCACUGGCCAGGUACUGACGCUGAGGUGCGAAAGCGUGGGGAGCAAACAGGAUUAGAAACCCUUGUAGUCC
rnacentral:rRNA from 1 species